AUUGAACGCUGGCGGCAGGCCUAACACAUGCAAGUCGAGCGAGCGGCGGACGGGUGAGUAAUGUAUGGGGACUGCCCGAUAGAGGGGGAUAACUACUGGAAACGGUAGCUAAUACCGCAUACUAUCGGAUAACCCAGAUGGGAUUAGCUAGUAGGUGAGGUAAUGGCUCACAUAGGCGACGGUCCCUAGCUGGUCUGAGAGGAUGAUCAGCCACACUGGGACUGUGGCACGGCCCAGACUCCGACGGAGGCAGCAGUGGGGAAUAUUGCGCAAUGGGCGGAAGCCUGAGGCAGCGAUGCCGCGUGUAUGAAGAAGGCCCUAGGGUUGUAAAGUACUUUCAGUCGGGAGGCGUUACCGACAGAAGGAGCACCGGCUAACUCCGUGGCAGCAGCCGCGGUAAUAC
rnacentral:rRNA from 1 species